GACGAACGCUGGCGGCUUGCUUAACACAUGCAAGUCGAACGGAAAGGCCCUGCUUUUGUGGGGUGCUCGAGUGGCGAACGGGUGAGUAACACGUGAGUAACCUGCCCUUGACUUUGGGAUAACUUCAGGAAACUGGGGCUAAUACCGGAUAGGAGCUCCUGCUGCAUGGUGGGGGUUGGAAAGUUUCGGCGGUUGGGGAUGGACUCGCGGCUUAUCAGCUUGUUGGUGGGGUAGUGGCUUACCAAGGCUUUGACGGGUAGCCGGCCUGAGAGGGUGACCGGCCACAUUGGGACUGAGAUACGGCCCAGACUCCUACGGGAGGCAGCAGUGGGGAAUAUUGCACAAUGGGCGGAAGCCUGAUGCAGCAACGCCGCGUGCGGGAUGACGGCCUUCGGGUUGUAAACCGCUUUCGCCUGUGACGAAGCGUGAGUGACGGUAAUGGGUAAAGAAGCACCGGCUAACUACGUGCCAGCAGCCGCGGUGAUACGUAGGGUGCGAGCGUUGUCCGGAUUUAUUGGGCGUAAAGGGCUCGUAGGUGGUUGAUCGCGUCGGAAGUGUAAUCUUGGGGCUUAACCCUGAGCGUGCUUUCGAUACGGGUUGACUUGAGGAAGGUAGGGGAGAAUGGAAUUCCUGGUGGAGCGGUGGAAUGCGCAGAUAUCAGGAGGAACACCAGUGGCGAAGGCGGUUCUCUGGGCCUUUCCUGACGCUGAGGAGCGAAAGCGUGGGGAGCGAACAGGCUUAGAUACCCUGGUAGUCCACGCUGUAAACGGUGGGUACUAGGUGUGGGGUCCAUUCCACGGGUUCCGUGCCGUAGCUAACGCUUUAAGUACCCCGCCUGGGGAGUACGGCCGCAAGGCUAAAACUCAAAGGAAUUGACGGGGCCCCGCACAAGCGGCGGAGCAUGCGGAUUAAUUCGAUGCAACGCGUAGAACCUUACCUGGGUUUGACAUGGAUCGGGAGUGCUCAGAGAUGGGUGUGCCUCUUUUGGGGUCGGUUCACAGGUGGUGCAUGGCUGUCGUCAGCUCGUGUCGUGAGAUGUUGGGUUAAGUCCCGCAACGAGCGCAACCCUUGUUCACUGUUGCCAGCACGUUAUGGUGGGGACUCAGUGGAGACCGCCGGGGUCAACUCGGAGGAAGGUGGGGAUGACGUCAAGUCAUCAUGCCCCUUAUGUCCAGGGCUUCACGCAUGCUACAAUGGCUGGUACAGAGAGUGGCGAGCCUGUGAGGGUGAGCGAAUCUCGGAAAGCCGGUCUCAGUUCGGAUUGGGGUCUGCAACUCGACCUCAUGAAGUCGGAGUCGCUAGUAAUCGCAGAUCAGCAACGCUGCGGUGAAUACGUUCCCGGGGCU
rnacentral:rRNA from 1 species